rnacentral:rRNA from 1 species
CGGUAGGUCCGUAUGCCCCGAAUCCCCUGGGCAACACGCGGGCUACAAUGGCCUGGACAAUGGGUUCCGACACCGAAAGGUGGAGGUAAUCCCCUAAACCAGGUCGUAGUUCGGAUCGAGGGCUGUAACCCGCCCUCGUGAAGCUGGAAUGCGUAGUAAUCGCGUGUCACUAUCGCGCGGUGAAUACGUCCCUGCUCCUU